AUGAACGCUGGCGGCGUGCCUAAUACAUGCCAGUCGAGCGAACAGACGAGGAGCUUGCUCCUCUGACGUUAGCGGCGGACGGGUGAGUAACACGUGGAUAACCUACCUAUAAGACUGGGAUAACUUCGGGAAACCGGAGCUAAUACCGGAUAAUAUAUUGAACCGCAUGGUUCAAUAGUGAAAUACGGUUUUGCUGUCACCUAUAGAUGGAUCCGCGCCGCAUUAGCUAGUUGGUAAGGUAACGGCUUACCAAGGCAACGAUGCGUAGCCGACCUGCGAGGGUGAUCGGCCACACUGGAACUGAGACACGGUCCAGACUCCUACGGGAGGCAGCAGUAGGGAAUCUUCCGCAAUGGGCGAAAGCCUGACGGAGCAACGCCGCGUGAGUGAUGAAGGUCUUCGGAUCGUAAAACUCUGUUAUUAGGGAAGAACAAAUGUGUAAGUAACUAUGCACGUCUUGACGGUACCUAAUCAGAAAGCCACGGCUAACUACGUG
rnacentral:rRNA from 1 species